rnacentral:rRNA from 1 species
GACGAACGCUGGCGGCGUGCUUAACACAUGCAAGUCGAACGGGAACCUUUAUUUCGGUAAAGGUGAGAGUGGCAAACGGGUGAGUAACACGUAGGCAACCUGCCGACAGGAUGGGGACAACAUUCCGAAAGGAAUGCUAAUACCGAAUGGAGUCCGAGGAUGGCAUCAUCCACGGAUAAAAGAUGGCCUCUUAACAAUGCUAUCGCCUGUCGAUGGGCCUGCGUCUGAUUAGCCAGUUGGCGGGGUAAUGGCCCACCAAAGCGACGAUCAGUAGCCGGUCUGAGAGGAUGAACGGCCACAUUGGGACUGAGACACGGCCCAGACUCCUACGGGAGGCAGCAGUGGGGAAUCUUCCACAAUGGGCGAAAGCCUGAUGGAGCAACGCCGCGUGAGUGAAGAAGGUCUUCGGAUCGUAAAGCUCUGUUGCACGGGACGAAAACCGAGCUUGAAAAUAUUGAGCUUGGGG